rnacentral:rRNA from 1 species
CGGUAGAGCGGCGAACGGGUGAGUAUAGGUGGGUAAUGUGCCUUUCGGGUGGGGGACAACUCCGGGAAACCGGGGCUAAUACCGCAUACGUUCCUCGAGUCCUCGGACUUGGGGAAGAAAGAUGCACGCGUAACAGUGUGUGUCACCCGAAGAUCGGCCCGCCCCCCAUUAGCUAGUUGGUAGGGUCAUGGCCUACCAAGGCUACGAUGGGUAGCUGGUCUGAGAGGAUGGUCAGCCACACUGGGACUGAGAUACGGCCCAGACUCCUACGGGAGGCAGCAGUCUAGAGGCUUCGGCAAUGGACGAAAGUCUGACCGAGCGACGCCGCGUGUGGGAUGAAGGCCUUCGGGUUGUAAACCACUGUCAGGGGGAAAGAAUGCCCGAAUGGUGAAUUCGGGAGAGACGGUACCCUCAGAGGAAGCCACGGCUAACUCCGUGCCAGCAGCCGCGGUAAUACGGAGGUGGCAAGCGUUGUUCGGAAUUACUGGGCGUAAAGGGCGCGUAGGCGGAAUGGUCCGUCCGAUGUAAAAGUGCUACCGCUUAACGGAGCAAUGUCAUCGGAUACCACCAUUCUGGAGUUCGGGAGAGGUGAGCGGAAUUGCUGGUGUAGCGGUGGAAUGUACAGAUAUCAGCAAGAACACCUGUGGCGAAGGCGGCUCACUGGCCCGAUACUGACGCUGAGUGCGCAAAAGCGUGGGGAGCAAACGGGAUUAGAUACCCCGGUAGUCCACGCCCUAAACGGUGGGCACUAGGUGUGGGAGGUAUCGACCCCUCCCGUGCCGCAGCCAACGCAAUAAGUGCCCCGCCUGGGAAGUACGGCCGCAAGGUUGAAACUCAAAGGAAUUGACGG